GCCCAGUGAUGAGACCAAGGCGAAUACGAGCUAACUGAAUGAGAGUUGGGUUCUUCUUGCCUCAACUGGCAGGUAAUCUUGGCAGUGCAGGGGAGUUUUCCUGCUCUGCUGUAAGGGUCUGCCUACAGUAACUUAGCCCAACCCUAAUUCUUCCUCUGGAGUCAGAGUGGAGUGAUGCUGGGAUAAAGCUGACAGUGUGUUUGGUGUGUGUGUGUGUUUGUUGUGAAUGUAAGAGGCAAGAAGUACACCCAGCUCUCUUUGCUUUCAGUAAGCGAUGAGUUCCUUCUUUGGUAAUCUGAGGGCA